rnacentral:sRNA from 1 species
AUGAGAGAGAUUUACCCGAAGCUAUUGUUGAACCCGUUCCAAAAAUAUUACAUUCGUGGCUGUGAAUGGACGAAAUUGCCCUUAAGAAAUACUAAGUAUGUGAAGCUCAAGUUGAUAAUUAUCUAGGUUCCUAAGUUUUGAAAAUAAAAUGGAAUUUAUUAAGGAUGGAACUUAGAUUUUUAGGUUAAAAUUUUGUGGUUUGGAGUUGGGGAUUGGAAAAGGACCACAUGGGAUCCCCACACCCCUCAAUCCUCUCCCUAUUUUCUGCAUACUGUCUCUCUCUCUCCUCCCUCACGAAUCUCUCUCUCUCUGUCACUCUUCUUCUCCGUUCGAACAAACCAACCGCAAAACAACCUUAAACUUCCACCAACGACGGAGUUAAGACCACCAUCGAACUCCUGGAGACUCCACGAUCACGUAGACACCAAUUUCAGGACAAUCCAAGCUCAUAGUGAGCUUAGUGAGGUCCCAAGGAAGCUCGGAGUGCUUCGUUGGAAGUUUUUGGACGUAAGAACACGGAGAUCGACAAGUUCAAAGUUUGGCCGGAGCUUUCGAG